UUCAUUACAAAUGUGGUGAAAGCAAGCUAAAAUUCAAGUAACUUACAAAUACAAUCCGUAAAGUUAGUAAACGGAAUGCGAAAGAUAAUAUAAUAAAAAGGAAAUACUUUCGAACAACCCACCAGAGCACAAUUCUUAAUAUUAUUUGCGCCCUCCGGGGGGCGCUCGGCACCAAGUUACAGCCGUCCAAUAAUUCACACAUGGAACUCGCCGAUAGAAAAAAGGAAACACAUACACGGCAAGAAUUAUAAAACUAGAAUAACUUCAUUUGAGACUUUAUAUCGGCCUUAUAUCGUGACAGCGCGGCAGAUGUCAUUCUUACAAGGGUGGCGAAGUUGGGAAAGUUGAGCAGCUUCCAGUUGGAAUAGCAGUUCUGUCCCCGUGGAGUUCACAACACAACCCAUAGUAUCAUUACAGGAGAAACCUGGCGAGGCAGGCCCCGCACUAGAGCUGCGCCAAGACAGAGAAAGGCAGACGCGAAGUGUCCUCGCUCGAGCCUAACGCUCAACUCUCUAGUCUGUCUGAGAGCGUCUUUGAUGAGGUGAGCUCUCUUCUCAUUAGUGAUUCCCUAUUGCCCCUCAGAGCUCGGAGAGUUAACCGCCAGCCACUCCUCCCUCUUAUCGAAAACCAGAGGAUUGACUGAUCUGCCGCACAGACCCCUCCCCGCACCGUCUAUCCGCUCUGACCACUAGAUUAAUCUAUUAUUGAUGAAAACUAUAUAUCGCAUAAUAAAACACUUGUUUUAAAAAUACAUGGCCGAUCAAAACGCAAAACCACCCACGCCAUUUUUACCGGCUUUCUGGGCUUUGGAAUGUUGCUGACCGAUGUGUUUUCGUUGAUAUUUUGAAGCAUACGUCUCUACACCUGUUUUUACUUGUUGUAUCUCAAUAGAUGCUUUUCGCAGUUAAUGAAAAUCGACACAUUUUUAAUGGUUAAGAUGUAAGCAAUUAUAUAAAACAUUUGGAUACCCGCAAAAUGUGGUUACAGUUUAUUUUGGUAUUUAAAAUACAGCCUGGUAACUUCAGUAAACAAUUCAUUUUAUACAAAUAAUUAUAAUAAAAAUGGGCAUGCACACAAA